ACUCAAAUGAAUAGACGGGGGCCCGCACAAGCGGCGGAGCGUGUGGUUUAAUUCGAUGCAACGCGAAGAACCUUACCAGGGCUUGACAUACAAGUGGUACUGACCUGAAAAGGAAGGGACCCUUCGGGGAGCUUGCACAGGUGCUGCAUGGCUGUCGUCAGCUCGUGCCGUGAGGUGUUGGGUUAAGUCCCGCAACGAGCGCAACCCUCGCUGUCAGUUAAAGAUCUCUGACGGGACCGCUGGGAUAAACCCAGAGGAAGGUGGGGAUGACGUCAAGUCAGCAUGGCCCUUACGUCCUGGGCUACACACACGCUACAAUGGCCGGUACAAUGGGUUGCCAAGGCGCGAGCCGGAGCUAAUCCUCCAAAACCGGCCCCAGUUCAGAUUGCAGGCUGUAACUCGCCUGCAUGAAGGCGGAGUCGCUAGUAACCGCAGGUCAGCAAUACUGCGGUGAAUACGUUCCCGGGCCUUGUACACACCGCCCGU
rnacentral:rRNA from 1 species